rnacentral:rRNA from 1 species
AACAAGUGAAUAUAUCGCGGCUACGGACCGUUGCCGCGCACCCGUCCAUCUGUUGCACGAGUACUCAUUGAAGGCCUCGUCGUACAGGCGGACGGGAGAUCAAACGGGCGCAGCUCUGCGCCAAGGAAAAUAUGCAGCAUGAGCGUUGACGGCAUAUCCUAAAAACGUAUGUUUGGCGGAUGGCAGUCUGCUCUUUAAAGAGUUGUAGGACUCUCGACAAUGGAUAUCUUGGCUCCCGCAUCGAUGAAGAGCGCAGCGAAAUGCGAUACGUGGUGCGAAUUGCAGAAUCCCGUGAACCAUCGAGUUUUUGAACGCAAGUUGCGCCCGAGGCCACCUGGCCAAGGGCACGUCCGCCUGGGCGUCAAGCAUGAGCAUCGCUCCACCUAACACCCGCCAUCGAUGAGAUGGGACGGUGUUAUCUAGGAUGCGGAAAUGGCCCGUCGUGCGCCGGCGCACGGCGGGUUGAAGAGAGAGAUGAUUCCUCCCGGCGACGAUCGAUAAAUGGGUGGGAUGAAAGCCCCAAUUGAUCCUCAUCAUYGUAUGGUUGCCUCGAGGAAGCCAACACAUCUYCGCGUAACCCGGCUCAAGUGUUGUUUGAAGCAAAAGUUGAAAUGCGACCCCAGGAUGGGCGGGGUGACCCGCUGAGUUUAAGCAUAUCAAUAA